rnacentral:rRNA from 1 species
GACGAACGCUGGCGGCGUGCUUAACACAUGCAAGUCGAACGGAAAGGCCCUGCUUUUGUGGGGUGCUCGCGUGGCGAACGGGUGAGUAACCCGUGAGUAACCUGCCCUUGACUUUGGGAUAACUUCAGGCAACUGGGGCUAAUACCGGAUAGGAGCUCCUGCUGCAUGGUGGGGGUUGGAAAGUUUCGGCGGUUGGGGAUGGACUCGCGGCUUAUCAGCUUGUUGGUGGGGUAGUGGCUUACCAAGGCUUUGACGGGUAGCCGGCCUGAGAGGGUGACCGGCCACAUUGGGACUGAGAGACGGCCCAGACGCCUACGGGAGGCAGCAGUGGGGAGUAUUGCACAAUGGGCGGAAGCCUGAUGCAGCAGCGCCGCGUGCGGGAUGACGGCCUUCGGGUUGUAAACCGCUUUCGCCUGUGACGAAGCGUGAGUGACGGUAAUGGGUAAAGAAGCACCGGCUAACUACGUG